CCUACGGUGGGCAGCAGUGAGGAAUAUUGGUCAAUGGCCGGAAGGCUGAACCAGCCAUGCCGCGUGAAGGUCAGUGCCCUAUGGGCGUUAAACUUCUUUUGUGCGGGAGCAAUAAUGGUCACGUGUGGCCAGACGAGAGUACCGUACGAAUAAGCAUCGGCUAAAUCCGUUCCAGCAGCCGCGGUAAUGCGGGGGAUGCCAGCGUUAUCCGGGUUUAUUGGGUUUAAAGGGUGCGUAGGCCGUGAGGUAAGUCAGCGGUGAAAUGCCCCCGGUCAACGGGGUGAAGUGCCAUUGAUACUGCCUGGCUGGAAUGCGGAUGCGGUGGGAGGAAUGUGUGGUGUAGCGGUGAAAUGCAUAGAUAUCACACAGAACACCGAUUGCGAAGGCAUCUCACGAAUCCGCGAUUGACGCUGAUGCACGAAAGCGUGGGUAUCAAACAGGAUUAGAUACCCUAGUAGUC
rnacentral:rRNA from 1 species